UGGAGGUGGCUGAGCAAGGAACAAGGUU
rnacentral:piRNA from 1 species